rnacentral:rRNA from 1 species
CCUACGGGUGGCAGCAGUGGGGAAUAUUGCACAAUGGGGGAAACCCUGAUGCAGCGAAGCCGCGUGAGCGAGGAAGGAUUUCGGUAUGGAAAACUCUGUCAGCAGGGGAAAAGAAUGACGGUACCUGAAGCAGAAGCACCGGCUAAAUACGUGCCAGCAGGCGCGGUAAUACGUAGGGUGCAAGCGUUAUCCGGAUUUACUGGGUGUAACGGGAGCGCAGGCGGUUCUGCAAGUCUGAUGUGAAAGCCCGGGGCUCAACCGCGGGACUGCCUUGGAAACUGCGGGACUGGAGUGGCGGAGGGGUAAGCGGAAUUCGUGGUGUAGCGGUGAAAUGCGUAGAUAUCAGGAGGAACACCGGUUGCGAAGGCGGCUUACUGG